AACGAACGCUGGCAGCGUGGAUUAGGCAUGCAAGUCGAACGGGAAGCUAUGUGUUCAAUCUUUCGGGAGAGAACAUGUGGUAGAUAGUGGCGAAAGGGUGAGUAACACGUGGGUAACCUGCCCUCGAGUUGGGAAUAGCUCGCCGAAAGGCGGGAUAAUGCCGAAUAUGAUCUUCUGUCGCAUGACAGGAUGAUCAAAGGUGGGGAUCCUGAGGCGUGCAAACGUCUUGGGACCUAUCGCUUGAGGAGGGGCUCGCGUCCCAUCAGCUAGUUGGUGAGGUAAUGGCCCACCAAGGCUUACGGGUAGCUGGUCUGAGAGGAUGGUCAGCCACACUGGGACUGAGACACUGCCCAGACUCCUACGGGAGGCUGCAGUCGAGGAUCAUUUGCAAUGCGCGAAAGCGUGACAAUGCGACGCUGCGUGGAGGA
rnacentral:rRNA from 1 species